rnacentral:rRNA from 1 species
AUGAACGCUGGCGGCGUGCCUCAUACAUGCAAGUCGAACGAAACUUCUUUAUCACCGAGUGCUUGCACUCACCGAUAAAGAGUUGAGUGGCGAACGGGUGAGUAACACGUGGGCAACCUGCCCAAAAGAGGGGGAUAACACUUGGAAACAGGUGCUAAUACCGCAUAACCAUAGUUACCGCAUGGUAACUAUGUAAAAGGUGGCUAUACUACCGCUUUUGGAUGGGCCCGCGGCGCAUUAGCUAGUUGGUAGGGUAAAGGCUUACCAAGGCAAUGAUGCGUAGCCGAAUUGAGAGGUUGAUCGGCCACAUUGGGACUGAGACACGGCCCAAACUCCUACGGGAGGCAGCAGUAGGGAAUCUUCCACAAUGGGCGAAAGCCUGAUGGAGCAACGCCGCGUGGGUGAAGAAGGUCUUCGGAUCGUAAAACCCUGUUGUUAGAGAAGAAAGUGCGUGAGAGUAACUGUUCACGUUUCGACGGUAUCUAACCGGAAAGCCACGGCUAACUACGUG